AGAGCUAAAAUGAAGCAAAGCUACCCAAGCGGUGCUGAAAAAAGGAGGAAACGGGAGGAAAGCAAAACGUUUUUAGCAAAACUACCAAAGUAACACAAGAUAGAAGACCAUAAACAACUGUUCCAAUUUAGGCAGCAGCAAGCAGAUCCAGUUAGGAGAUUCUAUCAGAGAACCUGCUGGGAAACCAAGCUGGAACUCCAGAUGACCAGACUUCAUUGCUUUGUGAAGACUGCUGAAGAGAAAUUACAAUUAAGUCUUUCUUAGAUUAAUAAGGAUUGACAAAAGGGAGGAACAAAAGAUGUAGAGGGCCCCAUGUCUGUGUUUGCCUUGGGCCCCAAAAUGGCUAAAUCCUC